rnacentral:rRNA from 1 species
AUACGGAGGAUCCGAGCGUUAUCCGGAUUUAUUGGGGUUAAAGGGUGCGCAGGCGGCCAUUUAAGUCAGCGGUUAAAUCGUGGGGCUCAACCCCAUUCUGCCGUUGAUACUGGGUGGCUUGAUUGCGGUCGAGGUUGGCGGAAUUCGUUGUGUAGCGGGGAAAUGCAUAGAUAUGACGAAGAACACCGAUUGCGUAGGCAGCUGACCAGAUCGCAAAUGACGCUCAUGCACGAAAGUGCGGGGAUCGAACAGGAUUAGAUACCCUGGUAGUCCGCACAGUAAACGAUGAAUACUUGUUUUCGGCGAUAUAAUGUCGGAGGCAAAGCGAAAGCGUUAAGUGAUCCACCUGGGGAGUACGCCGGCAACGGUGAAACUCAAAUGAAUUGGCGGGG